rnacentral:rRNA from 1 species
UGUAAGCGUAUACCAAAGUUGUUGCAGUUAAAACGCUCGUAGUCGGAAUUUGGCAGUUCCGGAUGUGUGCACGUCGUGUGCGCACUUCGCGGGGAUUGCUUUUGUGGUCUUGCGUAGGAUGAGGCACUUUUAUUAGUGAACGUCCUCACGCAACCACUUUCUACUGUGAGAAAAUCAGAGUGCUCAAAGCAGGCAUUUGCCGUGAAUGUAUUAGCAUGGAAUAAUAGAAUAGGACUUGGUUCUAUUUUGUUGGUUUGUUGGGACUGAGUAAUGAUUAAGAGGGACAGUUGGGGGCAUUUGUAUUUCGGUGCUAGAGGUGAAAUUCUUAGAUUACCGAAAGACAAACUGCUGCGAAAGCGUCUGCCAAGGAUGUUUUCAUUGA